rnacentral:lncRNA from 1 species
GGUAGGCCCGCCUUUUUCAGCACCAUCUCCCAAAAUCUGCCCUGAGUUCCCACCUUUCUUCUAGCCUGCGUGGAAGGCUUCCUAUGAAAGCUUCCCCUUUCUUCACACAGCCAGCAGCCUAGAGGCAGCAGGAAAUCAAGACUGCUUCAAACAGGUGAAGAAGAUGGCCGUGAAAGCCACAAGGUCAUCCCCCUGAAGGAGAAUGGCCUGCUCCAGAUGGGAAGUUUAUCUGCCUGGAUCCUGAAACGAAGACGACAUAUGGAUCAGGAACUGAGUCACUGACAGACUACAGCUGACUUACAACUUAAGUGCUUUCAACUGUUUUAAAACUCUACAAGGUGUGGGGCUGCAGAUCGGACCGGAUACUGGGGCUCGGCGUGGAUGGGUCUUUCAUCCAUUCGUCGGAUUCCCACAGGCUUGAUGGCAUCAGGCUCCACAGUGUCAGGCUGCUGCAGCUGGCUCAAGUCAUAGUCCUGCAAAAAGACAAAAUCAAAAACCGAUGGGAGAUGGGCACAAAGAUAGAAAAUUACAACCUCGCUUUUUAAGCACAUACUCAGAACACAUAGAAAUGAGGAAAAUUUAACAUAAUGGAAAAGUUGCCACUAUGAGUUUUUCAUGUUAUGAUUAAAUAUUUCUUUCACACA